rnacentral:lncRNA from 1 species
CAGAGAGAGAACCCUAUCCUUCUUGGACCUCCCAAGCAAGUUGCAGGAACCUGGGGAACAGGGCAGGGGCCUCAGCUCUCCCAGUCAGAGCUCCUGGAGGCAAAGGGAUCAUGCCACAAGAGGACCACUGCGAGGAUUUCUCAGUUCUGGCCAUGCCCCAUGUUAUUACCACUUUUCUUUUCAGGAGCCAUCUCAUGCUGGCAUAUCCAUCUGUUUGUUGUGUUUCCUGUGUUCCUGCAAGGCAGUGCUUUGCUGGCCUUCUGACGGUGUCUGAGUGCAUUCACAGAUGAGAAGAAGGUGUGGAAAAAAAAUACCCUUUACCUGAAGCAGACCGAGAUUCCUGCAGUUGCAGGGCUGGCAGUCCACAGCUGGAUGAAUUUCCCCAUUCUCUUGUGCUGGAGGCACAAGCUGCAUUUUUGCAGGCUGUGGGAGCCAUGGGAUCGUGGGUCUCUGUAAACCUGCUGGGUUUCAAGCAGCAAUAAAGUCCACUUUGAGCCAUGUCUAUCCA